CCUAGAGUUGUAGGCUUUGCCUGCUAUCUCUUACCCAUGUCUUUUGAGUACCUUACGUUUCCUCGGUGGGUUCGCCCGCCGAUUGGACAACUUAAACCCUUUGCAGUUGAAAUCAGCGUCUGAAAAAACUUAAUAGUUG
rnacentral:misc_RNA from 1 species